AGAUUCUUAAGAAAAUCUUGUUUUGUUUCUGUUUGGUUUAUUUUGUGUCUAGGCCACAAGGACUAAUGAGUUCUGCAGUUUAUGUUCAAAGUGUGUUCCACAGUGGCAGCUCACAGUGUCUCAGAGACCUGCCUUUAUGGACAAAAGUUCACACAGUAUUGCUAAAUGAAGAAGGAAACCGACUUUCUUAGCAGCUCGUUAGGCACCUCUGGGUGACUAUCGAUAUCGAAAGUGAAGACAGGAUAUUAAGCAAAAGGACUUGAUGUUAAUGAUACAUUCCAAGCCCAGAGAUAGUUUAAGGACCAGCAUUUGAAGAUCCAGAUAUCAGAAACUGGUAUCAAGGUACUUGGUGGAUCCUCAUAGGAUGUGAAGAAGAGUCAGUAUAUAACUGCCCUGUGGCUGUGUUUCUAAUGAACUAAAAAAAAAAAAAAAAAAAAAAAACCCUUUUAAAUACCCAGAAGCUCUAACCCACAUUUUGAACUAAUUGACUUACUUUUUCUAAGAAAAGCUUAAUUUAACUGAUAGGGGCACAUGGGUUUAUCUGAAUAUUUAAAGAAACCCUGGGAUGAGUUUGUUCUAUUUCUUUAACUUGAUGCUGGGCCUUCUGAGCUUCAUGCCUGACAGGGAAGGCUGCUUAGGGAGGGGCAGAGAACCCACAAAUACUGUAGUCUACCCUCUCCAUCCAGAAAGCCACAUCCAGAGACAGGGCAACAACCUUAGGGCAGCACUACUACUGGUAGAAGAUUGCUAACUCUUCGAGGUUACUCUUUCUACAGUCUGUCCUCCGACUGAGACAUCCCAGGAUCACAGGAGGCUUCUCCAAAUAAAACCAGACUCUUCCAAUAUUGAUGGCAUCCACUUUGCUAUCAUUUCUCUCUGCAGCUCCUCCCUGAAGCUAAAAAGCACAAACCAAGACUGUGGUUUAUGGUAUUUUUCUGGCUAUAAGAGAAAAAGCAGAUGUAUAAACCGUAGAAAUCUAACCUAGGUAGGGUGUGUGUGUGUGUGUUUCUGGGUCACAUUUAGGGAGUGUUUGCUGAGAGUCUGGACUUGGAAAACUCUUUUCUGUCUUAAAAGUACAUGUGAAGUUGGUUUCUAUGUUACAUAUCUCCCUAGACAGUUAAUCCAACCCCAGAGCACACAGGCUUUCUGAACCAUUCUCCUGGUCAGUCUCUUUUGAUUCUUUUUCUAUUUUUCCAGGAAAAAAAAAAUCUGUUUUCCAGUAUAUUUCCACAGAUUCAACCCCAUAAAGUUUACUAUUUAAGUUUUAAGUAUUAAACAUUUAAACAUUCAGAAGU
rnacentral:lncRNA from 1 species